UCAUGGCUCAGGAUGAACGCUAGCGGCAGGCCUAAUACAUGCAAGUCGAGGGGCAGCGCGGUAGCAAUACUGGCGGCGACCGGCGCACGGGUGCGUAACACGUAUGCAACCUACCUUCAACUGGAGGAUAGCCCGGGGAAACUCGGAUUAAUACUCCAUAACACAGGGAUCCCGCAUGGGAAUAUUGUUAAAGCUACGGCGGUUGAAGAUGGGCAUGCGUUCGAUUAGCUAGUUGGUGUAGGUAACGGCUCACCAAGGCUACGAUCGAUAGGGGGUCUGAGAGGAUGAUCCCCCACACUGGUACUGAGAUACGGACCAGACUCCUACGGGAGGCAGCAGUAGGGAAUAUUGGUCAAUGGGCGCAAGCCUGAACCAGCCAUGCCGCGUGCAGGAAGAAGGCCCUCUGGGUUGUAAACUGCUUUUGAUAGGGAACAAAUGCCACUUGCGAGUGGAGCUGAGUGUACCUAUAGAAUAAGCACCGGCUAACUCCGUG
rnacentral:rRNA from 1 species